rnacentral:misc_RNA from 1 species
AAAGUCGUAACAAGGUCUCCGUAGGUGAACCUGCGGAGGGAUCAUCAAAGUAUUUCUUUCCAAUGAAAAAACCCCACAUGUGGUUUUAUAUCUCUCUAUAUGGGAGAUAUAUAUCGCAUGUCAAACAAACGAUCGCAACUAUUAUAAGAGAGGGGGGAUUUUGAAAAAGUGUUUGCCUGAUAAAAAAGCAAAGAGAAUUCUAUACAAAUAUAUACAACUUUCAACAACGGAUCUCUUGGCUCUC